rnacentral:rRNA from 1 species
AGGAUUAACGCUGGCGGCGUGCCUAACACAUGCAAGUCGAACGAGGUAGCAAUACCUAGUGGCAGACGGGUGAGUAACGCGUGGUCAACCUACCGUUGAGUGGGGGAUAACUAGCCGAAAGGUUAGCUAAUACCGCACACGAGUCUCGGGGGCAUCCCUGGGCCUUAAAAGGAGCAAUCCGCUCGAUGACGGGACCGCGUCCCAUUAGCUAGAUGGUGGGGUAAUGGCCUACCAUGGCUCCGAUGGGUAGCUGGUUUGAGAGAGCGACCAGCCACACUGGGACUGAGAAACGGCCCAGACUCCUACGGGAGGCAGCAGUGAGGAAUUUUCCGCAAUGGGCGAAAGCCUGACGGAGCGACGCCGCGUGUGGGAAGAAGGCCUUCGGGUCGUAAACCACUGUCGAAGGGGACGAUAAUGACGGUACCCUUGGAGGAAGCCCGGCUAACUACGCGCCAGCAGCCGC